CGUUGGUCUUUUUUUUGUAAUAAAAAAAAUAGUGAUCGUUUCAUCCAUAAGGAUAUAAAACAAAGAAAAGGAAACUUGAAACUGGAAGAGAAAUACAAUUAGAAAAAAAAAGAUCUGUUUUUAAAGCUGUGAGGAAAAAUAUUUUAUAAACAUCCUUCAGAGAUUUAAAAAAUAACCAACUGUGCAAUUAGUUACUUAAGGUAAAUAAGUUUUAUGCCACUGAUUCAUCUCUUAAAUGGUCCUCUGAAGUGAAAAGAAAACUGUUUUAAUUAUGACAUCCUACACUGAUAUGGAAUCUUGGUGCGAAUAGAAAAUGUCACUCUUCCAUAUACAAAUGGAGGCCAAGUACAUUCACACGGUAAUAUAAAUGGAAACAGAACAGAUAAAACAAAUUAUUUUCAUAAAACGUUUGGGUUAUUUCACCGUGUUUUUGUAGGCAUAAUUAGAUAAAUUGCUUUGCUUUGUACACAGAAAAAAAGAGAUCUCUUAAUCACAACUAUAAAUCCAUAUAUAUGUGCAUCAAUCUUUAAAACAUUACUUUUACUGUUUAUGUGACUUAAAACAGUGCAGAAAGACUUCUUGAUUUGCACAAGAUCCCCCUAGAACCACCAGGAGAAGCUGACAGAAACCCUGAUUGUGUUCAACUCUUGAGCGUGCUCUUUUGCUAAUUUACUGGCACUUGUCUCUUUGUCAGAGACUGAUGAAUUACUUUCUAAUUGGAGCGGUCUGCGUAUACGGGGAGAGCGCCUGCUUUCCCUGACACUCCGGCAGUCCAUCAACUGGUCGCUCUGCUGUCUCUUCUGUUUUUCCCACCUAGUUCCAAAUUUCUCGAGUUGCCUCUCACAGCAAGGACACAGACCUGGGGUGAGGCAGGAAUGUUGCCGAUUGAGGAAAGAUCAAGAUGUCCGAGAAGACAUCCGGAACGAUACUUUAAAGCCAAAGAGAAAGCCAAACCAGGAAAAAGGAAAAUCUCCUGCGUUCUUCGUAAGAGUCUGCUGGAAACACCACGUCAGUACGCUAAUUGCUAUAAAACAAGCCUCAAGAUACGUUUGUUUGAUGAGUUUAAAAAAAUAAAGAAAUACAUAAAUAUUUUUAGUGUAAGGGAGUUUUCACCAGAAGUAUCUAUAUUUAUAAUUGAUGUAAAGGAAUUUUGGUUCCGGCCCUGACAAAGUAACUGGUAUCACUAAAUUCACAUCAAAAAAUUAAGAGCUAGAAACACUGAACACAAUAUAUAAAACAACUGUUGGAAGGCACUGGACCGCAAGCACUGCAGGCAUACAGAUCUCAGGAGAAUGGGAAUUGCCGAAAGGAGUCCAAUAUUCACUCCAGAUUUUUCCCUGAAGUUAUUUUCCAAUCCUUGGCACAGGGAAAGGGGGCCCAAGCACAAAAUGUCAGUUUCACUGGGCAGAAGAAACAGAGAUCAGAGUUUGGUCUGCUAAGAAUACUGAGAUUUGGGAGGUAGGUAGCAGAUAAGAGAAAAGUAAAGAUAAAGAGCCUAAAAAAAACUCCAUAAAAACUCCCCUUGGUUUUAAGCUAAUGGACACACUUAAAAAGGAAGACGGACUUUUUUUUUUUUAAACCUACUGUUGGCUGGAGUGGUAGGGGGGCAGUAAUUGAUAAGCAAAGAUUUCAGAGGUUGAAAAAUGCUACAAAGAUCUUAACAUUCUUGCUCAUUCAAACUGAAAAGACCUUAAUGAACACAUCCAUUCGUGGGACUCCAGAGCUCAUGCUUGAGAGUGAUGACUACUUUGUUGGAGUAAGAAAAUAAUUAAAAACCACUAACCAAAAAUCUUUUAAAUUUAAAUAUUGGCAGAAUUGAUCUGUCCAUAAGGUAAGUGCCUACUAAGUUAGCACAGACCCCACAGUUCAAGGUCUCCUUCCCACAAACCCCACCCCCACCUCAUUCACCAGGAGCAAAUGAGGUCCCUGGUGACCCACACUUCUGCCUUACUGGCUACAAAUCAGAAGUUCUCAUGAUCACCCCCUCAGGCUCACAGAACUCAGUAAAGUACUCUACUAUGACG
ensembl:lincRNA